rnacentral:rRNA from 1 species
UACGAAGGGGGCUAGCGUUGCUCGGAAUCACUGGGCGUAAAGCGCACGUAGGCGGAUUCCUAAGUCGGGGGUGAAAUCCUGGAGCUCAACUCCAGAACUGCCUUCGAUACUGGGAAUCUUGAGUCCGGAAGAGGUGAGUGGAACUGCGAGUGUAGAGGUGAAAUUCGUAGAUAUUCGCAAGAACACCAGUGGCGAAGGCGGCCUCACUGGUCCGGUACUGACGCUGAGCCGCGAAAGCCAGGGGAGCCGAACGGG